AAAGAGAUGGCGGGCCCCCGCGCCCCCGUCCCCAACCCUUUGUUGACCAAACCACUUUUGCCUCGGGGGCAGAGCGGCCUCCGCCGCCCCCGGUGGACCAACUUAACACUGUCUCUGUACGUCGGAGUCUUUGAUAAAUAAAUGA
rnacentral:misc_RNA from 2 species